rnacentral:rRNA from 1 species
UGCAGUCGAGCGGAACGAGUUAUCUGAACCUUCGGGGAACGAUAACGGCGUCAGCGGCGGACGGGUGAGUAAAGCCUAGGAAAUUGCCCUGAUGUGGGGGAUAACCAUUGGAAACGAUGGCUAAUACCGCAUGAUGCCUAUGGGCCAAAGAGGGGGACCUUCGGGCCUCUCGCGUCAGGAUAUGCCUAGGUGGGAUUAGCUAGUUGGUGAGGUAAGGGCUCACCAAGGCGACGAUCCCUAGCUGGUCUGAGAGGAUGAUCAGCCACACUGGAACUGAGACACGGUCCAGACUCCUACGGGAGGCAGCAGUGGGGAAUAUUGCACAAUGGGCGCAAGCCUGAUGCAGCCAUGCCGCGUGUAUGAAGAAGGCCUUCGGGUUGUAAAGUACUUUCAGUCGUGAGGAAGGCGGCGUCGUUAAUAGCGGCGUUGUUUGACGUUAGCGACAGAAGAAGCGCCGGCUAACUCCGUGCCAGCAGCCGCGGUAAUACGGAGGGUGCGAGCGUUAAUCGGAAUUACUGGGCGUAAAGCGCAUGCAGGUGGUUUGUUAAGUCAAUGUGAAAGCCCGGGGCUCAACCUCGGAAUAGC